UCCCCGCCCCCUCCCCAGGGGAACCUGAUCUCCCAGGCUCUGCAGAGCUUCCUGGCUGGUAGUGCUGUAUGGGCGGUCUCUCACUUGCAUCCCUACUGGGAGCAAGAAGUGAGGGGCCUGGACUCUCCGAGACCCCUGCAUGUCUUCCCUUCACAGAUUUUAAUCUGUACCCUUUUGUUGCCAUAACUCAUAGCUGAGCGAAAUGGCUCUGCUGCAUCCUGGGAGUCCUUGUGACAUGAGCCAGAGGAGAACUGCUGGAGACUCCCCGAACUUUGUGACGGGCCUGACCUCAGAUUUAUCAGCUCCGUGGUGCAGGGAAGGGGCCUGAGGGACGAGGACACCCGCAUCCCCAGCCCUGCUCACCUCCUCCACUCCUCCUCCGUCUCCCAGAACUCGUAGACCACGAAGGUGAAGCCAUCCGCCAGCCUCAGGGCCGCGAUACUGUAAGAGGAGAGGCUCCAGCUGCAGGGGGCCUGGCUGCCCCCUCACGGCGGGUGCCCCCCAUGCUCCACCCCACCAGCCUGGCAGGAUGUGGGAGGGCCCCAGCACCGGUGCAGGAGUAACCCAGCCGCCUCCCCCAGGGCCAGGCUCCUCAAAUGCUCACUGAAUUAAAAUAUCAUUUCAUUGUAAUUCAAACGUUUUACAUUCAUUAAAAAACCCUACCUGUAAAAAUAAAAGCCUUUUUCCUGCUA